GAUGAAGAACGCAGCGAAAUGCGAUAAGUAAUGCGAAUUGCAGAAUUCCGUGAGUCAUCGAAUCUUUGAACGCACAUUGCGCCCUUUGGCAUUCCGAAGGGCAUGCCUGUUCGAGCGUCAUUUAUCAACCCUCAAGCCCGGCUUGCGGUUGGGUCCCGCCGUGGGCGACCACGACGGACCCGAAAGGUAAUGGCGGUGCCCGUGGGGCCCUGGACGCAGCGAGCUUCUCGGCACGCGUCCCGGCGGUCCCCGGCGCCGUCUCCACCAAUCCACCACGCAGAUUGACCUCGGAUCAGGUAGGGAUACCCGCUGAACUUAAGCAUAUCAAUAAGCGGAGGA
rnacentral:misc_RNA from 1 species